GGCUCGAUAGCUUAGUUGACGAAGCACUCGUCUAGCAUACAAGAGUCGUGGGUUCCAAUCCCACUUGAGCAC
rnacentral:tRNA from 1 species